CCAGACUCCUACGGGAGGCAGCAGUGGGGGAUAUUGCACAAUGGGGGAAACCCUGAUGCAGCGACGCCGCGUGGGCGAAGAAGUAUUUCGGUAUGUAAAGCCCUAUCAGCAGGGAAGAAGAAAUGACGGUACCUGAGUAAGAAGCACCGGCUAAAUACGUGCCAGCAGCCGCGGUAAUACGUAUGGUGCAAGCGUUAUCCGGAUUUACUGGGUGUAAAGGGAGCGCAGGCGGCGCGCCAAGUCUGAUGUGAAACCCCGGGGCUCAACCCCGGGCAUGCAUUGGAAACUGGCGGGCUGGAGUGCCGGAGAGGUAAGCGGAAUUCCUAGUGUAGCGGUGAAAUGCGUAGAUAUUAGGAGGAACACCAGUGGCGAAGGCGGCUUACUGGACGGCAACUGACGCUGAGGCUCGAAAGCGUGGGGAGCAAACAGGAUUAGAUACCCCGGUA
rnacentral:rRNA from 1 species